rnacentral:lncRNA from 1 species
UUCAGCUCCAUCCCAGACAGAUGGCAGAAGCAAAUGCUGUGCCCAGGAGGCAAACAACGUGACAAUACCAAGUGUUUGUCAGAGAGACACUUGAAGAGGCCAGAAAAGAGCACCAGAUCCCGUGGAGGUGAUACCACACACAGGUGUGAGUGCUGCGAACUGAGUUUAUGGCUUUGGGAAACAGCAAGUGUCUUAGUUGGUGAGCUACCUGUUCAACCCCCAGAACCAUCUCUGAGUUGGAAAGAUUGUAGCUAAGGGGCUGGGGAAGCAAAGAUGUUUGUUUGUUUGUUUGUUUUGUGGUUGUGAUUUUUUUUUCUUUUUCAAGACAGGGUUUCUCUGUGCAGCCCUGGCUCUCUGGGAACUCGCUCUGCAGACCAGGCUGGAGAUCCUUCUGAGUUCAGGGAUUAAAGACAUGCACUACCACUGCCCAGAUGACACUUAGAGUUCUUAGGACAGCAUACCCGAGAAGACACUGGGACACAGAGAGAGCCUGGAGUCUGCAGAGGGCGGCUCUCAAGUGUUCAGUAUAGGAAGAUGCUCCCCAAAGCCAGGGAAAGAAGCCCAGAAAGACUAAGGGGGCAGA